rnacentral:tRNA from 1 species
GUCCCCAUCGCUUAACUGGAUAAAGCAGUGCCCUCCUAAGGCGUAGCUACAGGUUCGAGUCCUGUUGGGGAUACCA